rnacentral:rRNA from 1 species
AUGGCGUCGUCCCCCGCGCGCCCCGCCGCCGCGUCCGUCUCCGGCGCCUUCGGCCUCCCGCCCGACGCCCGCUGCUCCUUCGACCAGACGCGCCGCCGCGCCGAGGAUUCGCAGGACAAGAGGCAGCUGGUGCGGACGUUCGUCAACGUGUACGGCCAGGAGGGCUACCCCAAGGAGGCCGUCAUGGCGGCCGUCGAGGAGUGCAUGAGGAAGCAGGCCGAGGGCCUGCUGCAUUCGCUCGAGGGCAUCGGCGGGAGGCUCUCGCAGCUCGAGCUCUACUGCUACAAGCUCGAGCGCUCCAUCGGGGAGCUGCGCAGCGACGUCAUGGACUACCACAGCGAGGGCACCGUCAACUUCCGCUGCCUCGACAAAAAUCUCAGACAGGUUCAGAAAGCUGUGCAGAUGCUUCAGGAUAAGCAUGAGCCGGCCGACACGGCGCAGCAACUGGCCAAACUUCAAAUAGCGCAUGAAUUCCCUGCUCGAACAAAUGAAGCCACUGCCUUGUCGAUGCUCACUGCAAGGGAAAAUGUCAAUGAUCAUAGCACACAAUUCACCAACCCUGAGGUUUCUUUUGUGCCAAUUCACCAAGUUAAUACCAUGCAGUCUCCUGCUAUGCCGAACCAAAGUAGCGGUGGUUAUAUUCUGCAGCAACUAGUGCCCGUCUCUUUGAGCACGCAACAUGAUCAGCAACAUCCGAGCCAAGCUGCGGUGUACUAUAUGCAAAGCCAAAAUCAGGUGAACUGCGCAGAGAACAAACCGUCCGAGUCUUUUGUUCAGGUUAUGCAGCCGCAUGUCCAGAACCCUGAAGCCAGGGUUGCAGUUGAGCUACCUCAGAAAUCUAGUCAGCCAACGGAAAUGUACCCUCCACUGCAGCAUCAUAUGCUACAAAUGCCUGCUCAGCAUCACGAGUCACAGGCAUGGCGAUCACAGCCCCCUGUCGCGCAACAGCAGCACUACAGUGUUCAGCCAGUCCCACCACAGAUGGUUCAACAGAAAACAUCUUCUCCUCAUGCUCAAAGUACUCCUCAAGUCACGCUCAUGUAUCCUCAAUACUCUUCUCAGAAGCCUGCCAAUGCUACCACUGAGCCACUUCCGAGAAGUUUGGUUGGGCAGUCUCCAUACUCUUCACCCCAGCAGAAGCAUCAUGAAGUCAUGCAUUCGUUUUAUGGCCAAGGCAACACAAUUUUGCUUCCCACGGCAGAGCAUAAUAUCCAGCAUCAACAGCCACAGCAAAUGCAAACACAGAGCCAGGCCUCAUGCCCACCUCAACCAAGCAAGCCCAGCCACUGCAGUGUUGCAUCAUAUGCUGUUCAGGGUAGUGGCCGAGCCUACACUGCCACAUAUAAGAAUCCUGCCGAGAGCCCUGCAACUGUUGUUGCUGUUCUGCCUCAGCAUUCGGCAACAGCUCCUAUGGCGUUUCAUCAUUUGGGGCCACAAAUCUUGCAUAAGAAUCCAUAUGGAAGUAUGUUCGAAACGACCAGUGUAGUAGGGUAUCCACAUGAUCAGGUUGGGAGUAUGACGCUCCCAGUGGUGACUGCGGACUCCAGUGCCAUGGUUGAUAAGCUCAAUGCUGGUAGCAAUGUUACAUCCCCGCGAGACUGGCCUGCAUAG